AAAUGACUCUCGACAACGGAUAUCUCGGCUCUCGCAUCGAUGAAGAACGUAGCGAAAUGCGAUACUUGGUGUGAAUUGCAGAAUCCCGUGAACCAUCGAGUCUUUGAACGCAAGUUGCGCCUGAGGCCAUUGGCUAAGGGCACAUCUGCUUGGGUGUCACAU
rnacentral:rRNA from 1 species